rnacentral:tRNA from 1 species
NAAUGCAUUAGAAUUAGAAUCUAAUUAACUAUAUAUCAUUAUUNAUAUUUAUCAAUUUCAUU